CGAAAACCUCUAUGCUUACAUUACAUAAUAUCAACAUUUUAUGUUGAUCUUAUGGAUAUGCAAGGAGUGGCGCGUGAAAGUUUUAUUUUUUUAUAUCCUGUCAUUCGUUGAUUGGAGGCAGAACUACGCUCUAAAUUUUCUCACAUUUUUUCGGAGUUCCGUCAAUUGCGUGCCACCUGGAUCCCUAUCAGACACCGACAGAAGAAAGAAAAUGGCUGACAGUUCCUUUGUUAAUGCUGUGUUCUGGUUUCUUGUCCUCUUAUUCCUCUCGUAUUGGAUUGCGAGCAUCUGCUUCAUCCCGUACCUAAUUAUCAGUAUCUUAACACCAUGCUUCCCAGGCUUGAAAGCUGUUUCAGAUCUUCUACUUGCAGGGAUCAUGUUUCCUUACAAAUGCUCCGACAACAUGGUUAACAGGCGCUCUUACAACUCCAUCUAAAUUAUUUCAUCUCUCCGCCAUUUUCUCGGGAGUAUGGCGUCUACCACCAUAACUAUUCCCAACCGUUUUCGUCAAUUAACUUCCUGUUCCAUCUCAGGCUGGUGUCUUCUUAUAAUUCAAUGUUUCUCUUAAUAUUUGUGUAAAAGUCAUGAGCAAAGGAGUGGAACCUUGAUUCAGUGGACUAGAGGCUUCGUUAGUGCAGAUGCCAGGUGGAUCAUUGUCAGCCCAUAGAUUUCAAAACUAUUGCCAGGCCGUUCGUACGAAUUCCCGAUUUUCAGAGCUCUCAGGAUUUUUUAUUCCAUCCAAGUUUAGGUUGCACUUCGGUGGCUGAGGAACAAUAUCUGCAAACUGACGAUUUUACAGGAUGGAAAAGAAACUUCGCCAUUUUGGUAAUUUUGUGAUAGAUUUGAAUUUUUUUAUUCAUCGCAGCGUUUUUACAGCCCUUCCGUGGGGAAUUGGUAAAUACCAUAAACAGCAGCUUGCGUAUUUAAUACUGAAGAAUGCGGCAAAAUCGCUGACUCAUUUUUGCCAAAAUCGUCAGUUAGGCUGUAUUGUUCCUUAGCCUACGAUUUAAAUUCUUAAUGUAGCUAUUAUGAAUUGGUUUCAUGCGGAAACAAAAUGUCUUGAAACUCAAUGAUAACUCAUUUCAUUUACAAAGAAUAUAUAUUUAGAAUUAGGCAUAACUGUUUAUGAUUUUUCAUGGUAAAUUCUAACUCUUCCAUAAACCACAUAUCUUUAAAAUAACAGUCCAGUAAAUGAAGGCGUACAAGACCUGUUUCCGGACAAAAAUCACCAUGCGGCUGGAUUUAGACCCAAUCAAUUCCACACAUUAAAAGCUGUUGUUAGCGAAAAGCCCCCAAAAAUCCCCUCGUGGGUUUUUGCCCGGUGGUCGGAUGAAGUUGUAAAUCAGUCAUAUUUUACAAAAAACCACUAAGGAGCAAGAAAUGAACAUGGAGAGCUCAUCAUUUUUUGAAAAUGGCGGCAUGUAAUUGCGUCUACUUCCUGAAAAAAUUAUAGUUUUUAAUAGAGUCCCUUUAU